rnacentral:rRNA from 1 species
CCUACGGGAGGCAGCAGUGGGGAAUAUUGGACAAUGGGCGAAAGCCUGAUCCAGCAAUGCCGCGUGAGUGAUGAAGGCCUUCGGGUCGUAAAGCUCUUUUACCAGGGAUGAUAAUGACAGUACCUGGAGAAUAAGCUCCGGCUAACUCCGUGCCAGCAGCCGCGGUAAUACGGAGGGAGCUAGCGUUGUUCGGAAUUACUGGGCGUAAAGAGUACGUAGGCGGUUAUUCAAGUCAGAGGUGAAAGCCCGGGGCUCAACCCCGGAACUGCCUUUGAAACUAGAUAACUAGAGUCUUGGAGAGGUUAGUGGAAUUCCGAGUGUAGAGGUGAAAUUCGUAGAUAUUCGGAAGAACACCAGUGGCGAAGGCGACUAACUGGACAAGUACUGACGCUGAGGUACGAAAGCGUGGGGAGCAAACAGGAUUAGAUACCCUGGUAGUCCACGCCGUAAACGAUGAUAACUAGUUGUUCGGUCACUUGGUGACUGAGUGACGCAGCUAACGCAUUAAGUUAUCCGCCUGGGGAGUACGGUCGCAAGAUUAAAACUCAAAUNAUAGACGCGNGAGAGNGCGACGACGACACGAGGAGAG